CCACGCAGCACGCAUUCACGCACGCCACGUAUGGGGGCGGGUCUCCGGUGCCAGGGCUUGGAGUCCCGCCCUGCUGCGGGGAAGGAACGAGCCUAUUGGCCAGGGCCCUUUGGGACGUGCCACCAGGUAGGAAAGCAUGAGUUGUGUGGCACUGUAGGUGAAAUUAGGCCGCAUCCCUAAGACAGUACACACCAAAUAGUUGUUAAAUGAAGUUUUUAAAUUGUCCGAGACCCUUGGGAUCAAGAUGCAACAGGAGCCGUGGACUGGAGUAUAUAUGGGUUUUAUGGUUGAAAAAAAACCAUAAAAGGUACCGUAGCAUACACCUGUAAUCCCAAUGAUUUGGGGGCUGAGGCCAGAGACUGCAAGCUAGAGGCCAGCAAUAGCAACUCAACAAGAUCCAGUCUCAAAAUUUUAAAAAGGGCUGGGAAUGUGGCUCCAUGACAACCUUGCCUGGUCUUAUGGGAAGAAGAGGAUACUUCAGUGGGAGAAGAAAUAAUGAUAAUGAUAAGGAUUGAAUAUCCUGCAAAUCCAAGAAAAUGUGAAUUCAGCACUGGAUAAACCUUGAUUUAAACGAAACAAAGAUGAUAUUUUUUUUUUUUUUGCUAUGUACAUUUUCUAUUACUGUUGUAACAAAUUACCACAGGUUUAGUGACUUAAAACAACACACAGUUUUAUAUGUCAGGAAUGUGAUAAUGGAUUGCACAGAACUGCAAUCUAGAUAUUAGACUGUAUUCCCUUGGAGACUCUAAGAAUCCAUUUCCUUUUUCAUUUAGGUUGUUGGCAAAAUUCAGUUCCUUGUUAUUUUCUUUCUGGCUUAUCACCUGAGGACUAUAUCCAGCUUCUAAAUGUCACCCAUGUUCUUUGUCUCAUUGUCCCCUUACUCCAUCUUAAAAGGCCAGCAAUGGUAGACUGAGUCCUCUCAUUUUUCAAAACUCUUCUGCUUCUUCCAAUACCUUUCUCUGACCAACCGUCUCUUUCUGUACCACUUCCAUUUGCACAUAGCUAAGACAGGAUAGUCAAAUCAGCAGCAGCUUUAUAUAUAUAUAAUGUUUUAUUUAUUUAUUUUUAUGUGGUGCUGAGGAUCGAACCCAGGGCCUUGCACAUCGAGGAGAGCUCUCUACCGCUGAGCCAUAACCCCAGCCCCAGCAGCAGCUUUAAUUCCCUUUUACUUUAUAAAGUAAUAUGUUCACCUGAGGUAAAAAUCAUGCCUCUGCCCACCAUAAAUUUGUUCAACUAAAUUUAUGAUGCAAAUUCAUACAAACUACAUAUGGAAAAUUGUAUACAGAAUAUCAAAUUUCUAUCAAGAUGCUGAGGUUGGGGUCUAUUUUCAUUUUUUUUCCCUUAUAUUCUACACAAUGAACAUGUAAGCAGUAUUUUUAGAAAAAUGUGGAAUAUUAGAUAUCAAAAUUAAUCAUCUACAGUGGGUAUGGUGGCAUGCCUGAAAUCCCAGCAACUUGGAAGGAUAAAGCAAAGGGAUUACAAGUUGGAGGCCAGCCUCAGCAAUUUAACAAAGCCUUAAGCAAUUUAGUGAGGCUAUGUAUCAAAACAAAAAGGGCAGAGAUGUGGCCCAGUGGUUAAGGGUCCCCUAGGUUCUGUCCCUGGUACCAUAAAUAAAUAAAUAAAUCCAAUUAUCUGACUAGUUCCAAGUAAUACAAGUAGAAACAGUUUCAUUAAUUCCAUUGUGUGGGAGGCCAACCUUCCGGGUGACUGAGUUACACUCCCCAGCUGGGUGCUGAGGCGCUCAGUCACAGAAAUGGGUGUGUCUUGCUACAGCCCCAUGGGUGAAACUAUGCUGACCUGUUCCUUUAUAAUAUAACCCCUUGCCUUGUUUAGGAUAGAAUCUUCCAUGGAAGUGCCUUGUGUGUGUCCCCUCCUCUUACUGUGCCCUUGGGUGUGGCCUACCCAGGUGUCAGUCAACCUGCUGACAGUGGACAUCAUGAAGAUACACUCAGCCCCCUGAAACCUGACUCCUUGCCUCAUUUGAAUAGCUUCUCAAUAAAAGGGGUCAGCGCA